CGGCUGUCAUGGUCAUACUGGUUAGAAGGCACUUGAAAUUUCGCUUUUCACUGUCCCAUUUCCGUCAGAUCCCCCUAGCGUCGCCCAGUGCGAACGCCGCGGUGGCCGCCCACUCGUUCGGGAAACCAACGACUGCUGGUGCGACCCUAAGCAAUGAAGAUCACACUUGAGGGAGGCUCCACUCCGCAGAGAUAUCUUCACCGUCGCGUGGCGUGUUGGAUCACGAUCGCUAGGGGCUUGGGACUGUGAGGAGCGAUGGAGAUGUCGACUCCAAUAUU
rnacentral:SRP_RNA from 1 species